rnacentral:snRNA from 7 species
CUGCUCACUUCGGCAGCACACAUACUAGAAUUGGAAUGAUACAGAGAAGAUUAGCACAGCCCC